UGGGGAAUAUUGGACAAUGGGGGAACCCUGAUCCAGCGACGCCGCGUGAAGGAAGAAGGCUUUCGGGUUGUAAACUUCUGUCAUCUGGGGCGAAGGUCUUGCAAUGAAUAAUUGCAAGACUUGACGGUACCAGGAGAGGAAGCACCGGCUAACUCCGUGCCAGCAGCCGCGGUAAUACGGAGGGUGCAAGCGUUGUUCGGAAUUAUUGGGUUUAAAGGGUGCGUAGGUGGCCCUGUAAGUCAGUGGUGAAAUAUCUCAGCUUAACUGAGAGGGUGCCAUUGAUACUGCAGGGCUUGAGUACAGAUGAGGUAGGCGGAAUUGACGGUGUAGCGGUGAAAUGCAUAGAUAUCGUCAAGAACACCGAUAGCGAAGGCAGCUUACCAAGCUGUAACUGACACUGAGGCACGAAAGUGUGGGGAUCAAACAGGAUUAGAUACCCAUGUAGUCCCUGAGCGGGCUGGCAAGGCGCAU
rnacentral:rRNA from 1 species